CUUGUAAAACACUGAUUUCGGGCUCGCGCAGAGUACCGCCUCGCUCAUCCUCACCCCACCCCUUCCCCCAGGCAAAAGCCACCUUUUGGCUGGUUUAUAAGAUAGCUGUACUUUUUUUAUUGAGUAACAGGUGUGGGGUUUUAGGAGGAGCGCUCUUUCGAAAGUUCCCUCUCGACUGACACCUCGCGUCUCACCGAGCGGUCGAGGUGCUGGGAGGCACUCUUACGGUAGUGGCUGGGGAAGAGCAGAGCCUGUCUAGACCUGUGGCUGCUGAGCUCCUGAGUUUGGCUGCGCAAGGCGCUAGGAAGGUGGAGUAAUACAGAUAAGAUUGCCUUUUCAGCCAGGAAAUAAGGAGAAAGGAAUCCUGGGAAGGUCUAGCUGCUGCUGACGUCUGGGCGGAUGAAAAUGCUGGGGUUCCAAAAAGCUGUCACCUAAAAAAGGCCUGUUGUAGGAGACAUCUGAUAAAGAACCUGGAGUCUCUAAUGCCUUAUUUAAGGAAACCCUCCACUUAGUAUCAGGAACGAGACCCCGUGGCAGAGGAUGGGGUACCUGUGUGGAGACAGGCGGAGACAGUCGCCGCUUCGGCCACGGAACAGGAG